CAGAGUAGGUGUAAAGCGUAAAGUGUUUAGAGAUGGGACGUAGCUCUAAAACGAAGGAUAGUCCGCGGCUUAUACAUCGCGUUCGCUA
rnacentral:ncRNA from 1 species